CCUACGGGAGGGCAGCAGUCGAGAAUCAUUCACAAUGGGGGAAACCCUGAUGCAGCGACGCCGCGUGUGGGAAGACGGUCCUCUGGAUUGUAAACCACUGUCCCCAGGGACGAAGAUGACGGUACCUGGGGAGGAAGCUCCGGCUAACUACGUGCCAGCAGCCGCGGUAAUACGUAGGGAGCAAGCGUUGUCCGGAAUUACUGGGUGUAAAGGGAGCGUAGGCGGGAUGGCAAGUUGGGUGUUAAAUCUACCGGCUCAACUGGUAGUCGCACUCAAAACUGCUAUUCUUGAGUGAAGUAGAGGCAGGCGGAAUUCCUAGUGUAGCGGUGAAAUGCGUAGAUAUUAGGAGGAACACCAGUGGCGAAGGCGGCCUGCUGGGCUUUUACUGACGCUGAGGCUCGAAAGUGUGGGGAGCAAACAGGAUUAGAUACCCGUGUAGUC
rnacentral:rRNA from 1 species